AUGUUGUUACACCAUCUUCCUCCUCCUCCUAAUUUCAUCUCCGACACCUCCCUCCCCAAAAACGUCACCGUCGAAGGCAUAACCGUCGAUUCACGCAACAACCGCGUCCUCGCUGUAAUCCAUGCCGUCAAGCCUCUCCCUCCUUUCAACGCCCUUGCCGCAUACGACCUCAAAUCCGGAAACCGUAUCUUCCUCUCCGUACUCCCCGCUAAUGAAGAAGAAGCCCUCCCAUUUCCAUCUCCGCCCGAUCCUUCGCGAGAUUUGUUGAUGAGGAUGAACAGACGAGAGCUAUGA